rnacentral:rRNA from 1 species
UGGACCGCUCGGUUUGCACAUGCCUAAUACAUGCAAGUCGAGCGAAUGGAUUAAGAGCUUGCUCUUAUGAAGUUAGCGGCGGACGGGUGAGUAACACGUGGGUAACCUGCCCAUAAGACUGGGAUAACUCCGGGAAACCGGGGCUAAUACCUGGAUAACAUUNUUGAACCGCAUGGUUCGAAAUUGAAAGUGCGGCUNUCGGCUGUCACUUAUGGAUGGACCCGCGGCGCAUUAGCUAGUUGGUGAGGUAACGGCUCACCAAGGCGACGAUAGCGUAGCCGACCUGAGAGGGUGAUCGGCCACACUGGGACUGAGACACGGCCCAGACUACCUACGGGAGGCAGCAGUAGGGAAUCUUCCACAAUGGGCGAAAGCCUAGAUGGAGCAACGCCGCGUGAGUGAAGAAGGUUUUCGGAUCGUAAAACUCUAGGUAGUAACGGGAAGAACAAGGUACAGUAGUAAACUGGCUGUUAACCUUGACGGUACCUUAUUAGAAAGCCACGGCAUNAACUACCGUUGCCAGCCAGACGCCGGUUAAUACGUUACGUUAGCCAACA